AUCAACGCUGGCGGCGUGCCUCAGACAUGCAAGUCGAACGAUUAAAGCUCUCUUCGGAGAGUGCAUAAAGUGGCGCACGGGUGAGUAACACGUAAGUAAUCUACCUUCGAGUGGGGAAUAACGUCCGGAAACGGACGCUAAUACCGCAUAACGCAGCGGCAUCGCAAGAUGACAGUUGUUAAAGAUUUAUCGCUUGAAGAGGAGCUUGCGGCAGAUUAGCUUGUUGGUAAGGUAACGGCUUACCAAGGCUACGAUCUGUAUCCGGUCUAAGAGGACGGUCGGACACACUGACACUGAAUAACGGGUCAGACUCCUACGGGAGGCAGCAGUCGGGAAUUUUGGGCAAUGGGGGAAACCCUGACCCAGCAACGCCGCGUGAAGGAUGAAGUAUUUCGGUAUGUAAACUUCGAAAGAAUAGGAAGAAUUAAUGACGUACUAUUUAUAGGUCCGGCUAACUACGUGCCAGCAGCCGCGGUAAU
rnacentral:rRNA from 1 species